UAUGGCUGUUUUGCUGGUGACU
rnacentral:miRNA from 1 species